rnacentral:sRNA from 1 species
GAGGCGCUUGGGAGGACUCCCCCAGUUCUGUUAAGAGCUGGGCACAAAGAGCCCUUUGCACUCCAGCCGCAGGAGCGAGGAGGAGCCGAGACCUGGGGCGUCCAGCGCAGCCUCAAACCCAGGGCAUCUCUGCACUCUCAUCGCGACGUCGCUCUGGAUGCUGUUUGCAUAUCCUUGGGGAGUCACUGCUUUGGCACAACAGUCCUGCGAGGUGAGUUCCUGCUGGUUCCCAGGUGGUGGA